rnacentral:misc_RNA from 1 species
UGCCCCUGAUAAGGCAGUUGG